rnacentral:tRNA from 1 species
UUAGUCGAAACCAAAAAGAGGUAUAUCACUGUUAAUGAUAAAAUUGAAUAUAAUUCCGUCUAAG